CAGAUUUAAGGAAACGUGGUCGCGCGGGUCGCUGAGCGAGAUGACUGGGUGUGGCAAAGAUUGCGCCCAGAUAAAGAAGUCAGACUCGCACUCGGUAGUAAGUGAUGGGCGAAAAACGGCAAGGCCAACAGGAAGGGGCAUUUUUGUUAUCGAAAAGCCCUUGAAGCAACUAAAGCUAAAGAACAUUAGGUUAGCGAAAAGGCAUUUGGCUCGCUCAGAAGGUCUGUUUGGGUGUUUCCUGUUUGCAGGGCAGCACCUGUUGUACUGUUCCUGCCUAUAGACGUUUACCCUCACACCUCCAUUUUCAAAAACAUUUUUUUGGCAUGGAGAAUUUGUUGGUGAUUUGGCUGGCCAGAGUAUCUACAAGAUAUCAGGAACAAGGGAAAGGAAGGCACCAAAGUUAAAGCUAAGAGUUAAGUCUGAAUAUCUACUUUUCUAGAUUCUAGUGUAAAUAGUCUAGGUUUCAGGAUCGGGACAUGAAUCUCCGUGUGACUGAAAUGAACCACCUGUUGUCUUCAAAUGGAAGUGAAGAAAAGGUCGAGCUUUUCCUGGCUCCUGGAAUGCCCUCCCCCA